AAUUUUUACAAUGAAGAGUUUGAUCCUGGCUCAGGAUGAACGCUAGCGGCAGGCUUAACACAUGCAAGUCGAGGGGCAGCGAGGGUAGCAAUACCUGUCGGCGACCGGCGCAAGGGUGCGUAACGCGUGAGCAACAUGCCCGUAUCAGGGGGAUAAUCCAGGGAAACUUGGUCUAAUACCGCAUAAUAAUCAUUUGGGGCAUCUUGGAUGAUUUAAAAUUUCGAUGGAUACGGAUUGGCUCGCGUGACAUUAGCUGGAUGGUAGGGUAACGGCCUACCAUGGCUACGAUGUCUAGGGGUUCUGAGAGGAAGGUCCCCCACACUGGAACUGAGACACGGUCCAGACUCCUACGGGAGGCAGCAGUGAGGAAUAUUGGACAAUGGAUGGAAAUCUGAUCCAGCCAUGCCGCGUGCAGGAAGACGGCCCUAUGGGUUGUAAACUGCUUUUGUAUGGGAGCAAUAAGGGCUACGAGUAGCCUGAUGAGAGUACCAUACGAAUAAGGACCGGCUAACUCCGUGCCAGCAGCCGCGGUAAUACGGAGGGUCCGAGCGUUAUCCGGAUUUAUUGGGUUUAAAGGGUGCGUAGGCGGUUUUAUAAGUCAGCGGUGAAAUUUUCCGGCUCAACCGGGAUACUGCCGUUGAUACUGUAAGGCUAGGAUAUGGUUGCUGUGGGUGGAAUGUGUGGUGUAGCGGUGAAAUGCUUAGAGAUCACACAGAAUAUCGAUUGCGAAGGCAGCUCACAAAGCCAUUAUUGACGCUGAGGCACGAAAGUGUGGGGAUCAAACAGGAUUAGAUACCCUGGUAGUCCACACUGUAAACGAUGAUAACUCGCUGUCGGCGAUAUAAAGUCGGUGGCCAAGCGAAAGCGAUAAGUUAUCCACCUGGGGAGUACGACCGCAAGGUUGAAACUCAAAGGAAUUGACGGGGGCCCGCACAAGCGGAGGAACAUGUGGUUUAAUUCGAUGAUACGCGAGGAACCUUACCCGGGCUCGAACGGUGCAGGAAUACUACAGAGAUGUGGUAGCUAGCAAUAGUCUGUAUCGAGGUGCUGCAUGGUUGUCGUCAGCUCGUGCCGUGAGGUGUCGGCUUAAGUGCCAUAACGAGCGCAACCCUUGUCGUUAGUUGCCAUCAGGUCAAGCUGGGAACUCUAACGAGACUGCCACCGUAAGGUGUGAGGAAGGGGGGGAUGACGUCAAAUCAGCACGGCCCUUACGUCCGGGGCGACACACGUGUUACAAUGGCAGGUACAGAGGGGAGCUACCCAGCGAUGGGGUGCGAAUCUCGAAAGCCUGUCUCAGUUCGGAUUGGAGUCUGCAACUCGACUCCAUGAAGUUGGAUUCGCUAGUAAUCGCGCAUCAGCCAUGGCGCGGUGAAUACGUUCCCGGGCCUUGUACACACCGCCCGUCAAGCCAUGGAAGCCGGGGGUGCCUGAAGUUCGUGACCGCAAGGAGCGACCUAGGGCAAAACUGGUAACUGGGGCUAAGUCGUAACAAGGUAGCCGUACCGGAAGGUGUGGCUGGAACACCUCCUUUUUGGAGCUGU
rnacentral:rRNA from 1 species